UGGGGAAUUUUGGACAAUGGUGGAAACCCUGAUCCAGCCAUCCCGCGUGUGCGAUGAAGGCCUUCGGGUUGUAAAGCACUUUUGGCAGGAAAGAAACGUCAUGGGUUAAUACCCCGUGAAACUGACGGUACCUGCAGAAUAAGCACCGGCUAACUACGUGCCAGCAGCCGCGGUAAUACGUAGGGUGCAAGCGUUAAUCGGAAUUACUGGGCGUAAAGCGUGCGCAGGCGGUUCGGAAAGAAAGAUGUGAAAUCCCAGAGCUCAACUUUGGAACUGCAUUUUUAACUACCGGGCUAGAGUGUGUCAGAGGGAGGUGGAAUUCCGCGUGUAGCAGUGAAAUGCGUAGAUAUGCGGAGGAACACCGAUGGCGAAGGCAGCCUCCUGGGAUAACACUGACGCUCAUGCACGAAAGCGUGGGGAGCAAACAGG
rnacentral:rRNA from 1 species